rnacentral:lncRNA from 1 species
UCCACACCAAGGAAGGACUUGAAGAAGAGAUGAGUGACCUAGAUGAAGUAAGAUUGCUAGCUAAAAUCCUCUAGGGUGACCGGCCUCUUAGAGAGAAAGGGAGAGACAUUCUGUUCUCAUCUUUUCUCUAAAAGAAACCUUAAGGAUGAAAUGGCCAUAAAGUUGCCUUUAUACCACCUCACAAUGGAGUGGCAAACUUGCAAUUAAAGCAAGUUCACUACCCUUCUCAAUUUGGCCGGCCUUAAGGGUUUAUUGGGCUUUCAAGCCCUUUGUUUAUUCAAGUUGUCAUACAAGUUGAGUUAAUGGGCUUGACAUUUAAAUCCCAUUGGGCCUUGUGGCCCAAAACUAACCCGAGGUUUUUAACGAACUUUAUUCAUUUGAUUAAUUAACAUAUUAAUUAAUCCUUGCCAUAAAUAAUUAAACCAUUUAAUUAUCCUUACUCAUCUCCGUUGUUUCUUCAAUCUCUACCUUACAUGGUGUACGAUCCAUUAGGUUCCUUUUAGCGAGGCAGUGGGCGAUUAAAACUCUUUCAAAUCGAUUGUGAAUUGAAACUUACUUUCAAUUCUCCCUUUAGUGAUUAUACAUGUUUAGGGCUUCCACAAACCAUGAGUGAGACCUAGCAGUAUGUCAUGGUUACCUAAGCUAAUCAGAAGAGGUGGAGAACCUAUUUAGUGUAGGAUUACAAUGCAAUACGGUAUUUCUCUAAUACAAUACUCUUGACCACGUUGUUUGGUUUGAUAGUUUAAUCAUGUCUACUAUCCAAUGUGAUUCAUUUACUUAUAUGAUUACCUUGAAUGUGAUUUGUAACGACUUCCUAAAUCUUAUUCAUACUCUGGCCAGAGAUUCUUAAUCAUAUCAUAGAGUAUUCUUCCUCAAACGGUUUGAAGGUUAGAGAUCCCUUGUUGCGCAUUCACUUGCCUCCAUGGCUAUGUGACUUAACCCCAACUAUGCCGUGGACACCUUUUGACAGAGUGACUUUAACAUAGUCAAAGAUAAAGGACCUAACCACAAGACAAAUAUGAUGCCUCAGGUCAAAGGACUACUUUGCAUUAUCCCAACCAUGAGUUCUCAUGUGACAUGAGUAUGAGAACUCCUCGUUGAUCGUGUUCAGUGGACUCAUUCUCUAUUGAGCACCUACAUGCUUGUCUUGGUGUCAAUCACACCAAUGACUCGAGACCAGUCGCUCUCACUGAGAGAAGACACAACACGUAUUAAUCUUAACGGACUGUCAAUGCCCAAUUGGCAAUCCUAUGAUCAGGAACGUUUAGGAUAUGUAUACGAAAGAGAAUGGUCUCACGAAUCUAACUUCUUUAAAUUACAUUCUCCUAAUUACAUAUUCCUUGGACUUAUCGUUUAAGCAUAUAACAUUUAUAUGAGACGGCUUAAAACAAUAAUCUUUGCCCUUGAUAUUAAACUAGAUUAGUUUAACAUGUGAAAUGUCCGUAAAGUAUCAUUAUAUGAUUGGUUUUAGGGCACAUUUCCAACAAUCUUCCACUUGCACUAGAGCCAAUCAGCCUGGUCAUCAAUGAUGAUACCUCUUAUGUAGUCAUUUCAAAAAUGGUUGAGUAGUAGGCCUAGGCAAUGAUAUCUAUAUGUUAUCCAUAGAAGCAACCUUGAGAAUAAUGAUGUCACCAUUAUACAUGAUUCUCAAUCAUGUGGUUCAGUCUCUCAUUUGAGUUCGGAUCUUGAUGAGACCGUGAUUCCCUGGCUUGAGCUAUCGUCCCAUUAGUGUCGUAGUGUCGGUACACUGGAGACACUUUUUGGUUGGAACCGAAUAAAGAGUUCAUAAAUGAACUUUCCAUCCAAACAACAUUGUUGUAAGCUUCUAUAUGGCAAUAUAUUUUGCAUUCAUAAUGGAACACACUAAAGUCAUUACUUUUAAUGUUUCCAUCCAAAUAUCUCUUUAGUCAUAAUAAAGAGAUAUCUGAUUAUCUCUUCAUUCAUAAUGAAGAAACAUCCAAUAAAUGAUUAGAUUCAUAAUCUAAUACAUUUACGCUUCCAUUACGUUACUCUAAUUCUUCCUCAUUCUUGAGGAAUCCAUCCUUUAUUAUUUCUCAAAUACUUACGGAUUCACUGGACAGUUUCCAUGGUUCUGAUCCUGGGCUUGCAUUGAUAUAGUCUUGUACCGAUCUUGGUACAACUCAUAUCAACGUUUUUCCAUACAAUAUGAAAUACAUAAAUCACCUUUUUGCGUAUACAUAAAGGAUUCUAUUUACGCAUUAUUUCUUUGGGAGUCAAAGGGUACGUUCCCUUUGAGAAGAGCUACCUCCUAGUCUCACUAGAGUUGUUCUUCUAAUUGAAGUUUAUUAUCAUAUGAGAAACUUCCUAGCAUCUUUUGUUUAUCAUUAGGGCUUGAUAUAAUCCAAUUAUAUCCUGAAAUCUAUCAUUAUAGAUUUCCAUCCCAUGUUUAUAGAUUAUGUCUCCCAUAUACAUUCUAUCGUUAUAGAAUGUUUAAAGUCAUAACUUUAACGAAGAAGUAUUCUUUUCAUUUCCAAAAUUAAUAUAUCAUAUAUGUCUUAAAUUUUAGGAACAUGAUUAACUCCCACUAAUCUUUUGUAAACUUCGUAAACAAAAGAUUCAUUUACAUCUUUAUGAGAAAUCAAUUGAUUUGAUCUUUCUCUCAUAAGACGCUUAUAGUUCCCACUAGCUUGCCAAGAUCCAUGAUGGAUGGAUCUCUUUAACUUACAUGUCUUGUGAUUCAUAGUUUUAGACAUAUAUUAUCAAGACUAUCCUAAUAAUGGUUUCGGAAACCCAUAUUAUGUCUAAACAUUGAAUCACCAUUUAGUUGUAGCUAGCAAUCUUGGAAUUAAUUAAAACCAAGACUACGUCAAAGAUGGUUUCUUCCAAGUCAACCAUUCUCUUUGAUUGUAGUCACCUUAAGCUACCAAUUAGCUAUAAAGGUUUCAUUAUUUCGGGUCAAAUGGUACUUUACCAUUUCCUUGAGUAUAUGUCGUAUAUACACUUAAUGUAGUCAUAAGGAUUUUCAUUUUUAUUUCUUUCGAAUUAAGAGGUGUAACUCUAUGACAUAAUCAUAAAGUUCAAACCAUUCAACUGAGACAGUUUAUAAAUCCUUCUCAACUACCUUGGAGCUUGUGGUAUAGGAACUAGGUUGUUAUAUUUGUUGAUCACUAUCUUGUCUCUCAAAGAACCCAUUCUUUGAGUUCUAUCCCUCGUUCAUUCGCCCUAUCUUAGGCAAAUCCUAGUGUAGGAUUACGAUGAACUACCCAACAACAACAUUUGUUAGUUGGUUUAUAGAAGUGAUAUCCAAAUGUUAAUUUAAGGAUACUCACAAGAUAAUUCUUAAACAAAUAUUGCUUAUUAGCACACAACCCCAAAAUCUUAACAUGAUUAAGAUUUGUCUUUCUUUCCAACUACAUCCUAUGGAGUCAUGAAAAUUUUGGAAGAUCUUCUAAUUGACAAUCAUAUUGUCUUAGAAGUAUAUAUCCUAUAUAUAUGGGUAAUUGAUAACAUCCAACGAACUAAAUCUUAUUCGAGUUCGUUCUUCUCUUAAUGGAGAAAUCCAUUAUCAUAUGAUGCUUCUUUCCUUGAUAUCUUUCAAGGAAACUGUUCUAAAGUGUUACCUUUCCUUGGAUCAAAUCUAAGGAGGUAAAUACUUUAGACAUCUUACUCAUCAACUUACAUUUCUUGAAUUCUUUGAAACCUUUUGCAAAGUAUUCGGACUUGUGUUUAUUCAAAAUAAAUGAUAGUCCAACCGAGAGCGAUCUUCGGUGAAUGUCAUACAACAUGAGUAGUAUUAUGUUGUGGACAUGUGCCACCAACAUCUAAGUGAAUUAACCUCAACAACUUUGUGAUUCUUUCUUCCUUUCCAAAAGAAUAAAGAUUCAAACAUUUUGCCUCUAUACAAUUUUAACAAGAAGGCAUUGGAUCCGGAUCUAACGAUCCAAAGCAUCCUUCUAUGACCAACUCGUAAUUUAUGUUUUAGAGGUAUCGUCACUACCUUGCAACCUUUUAGGUUUUAAGCAUCGUUAUAUUCUAAACAGUUAACACUACCAUAUCAUCUCUACGAUAGAGAUAAUCAAUUAGAUUACAAUAAUCUAAUCAUUCAUUAAUAAAGAACAAUGUUUUGUCAAACAAAACAUUCAUCCAUCUCUCAUAGUGACGGAAUUAAGUUUCUUAAAAUUGGAAUGUAAAGACAAUCUUUGGUUUUUCCAAUUUCUUUGGUAGUUCAUAUGAGGAAGUAAGUAUGAUCUGCUUUCGCAGAGAUCUACAUUUGAUUCAUGUUCCGAAUGUGAAGUACUUUCUCUUCUUUCAUUAAUCUUCUACUUCUUAUUAGCCACACUUUUACAACGAUUGUAAAACAUAGUUACUAAUACGGAAUCAAGCAUUCAAGUAGAAGAACCAACUGUUUUGAACUUUAUAAGAACAAUUUACAACACCUUCGAAAGGUGUGUUCUUGACACUUGCAAGACAUUUCUUGCAAAUACCCCUUCCAAUGUCCAUCAUUUCAUAAAGAAAGUUUGUUCCCUUGGAGUUAUUUCCCCUUCUUCAUUUGACUUCUCCUUUGACUACAAUAGUCAUGGUCCCUAAACUCCCACUAUCUCUUUUGAAACUUAUUUCAAUUGUGUUAUACACAUCAAACAAUUUGAAGAGCGUGUGGUUAUUGUUCACUAUAUAGUUUACAAUAAACUUAGUGAACCAUUUGGAUAGGGACACAAAGGUGAAGUCCUUGCCUAGUUUCCGUCUCUAGAAGUGGUUUAACACUUCAACACUCAAUGAUUCAAAAUCAUCAUAAGUCCAUGUUGAUGGACUAUUUUUGUCAACCAACCAUUAUGUUCUAAACAUAUUACAAACUUUCAAGAGUUGUUUAAGGCAACUCUCAUUUCUUCAUACAACAAUUUGGAAGUGAAGAAUCAUGGCACACAAAGUGUCCAUGUCCUUGUGCUUACUUCUUAAGUUCCUUAUUCAUGUAACAAAGAAACGAGCACUAAUGUUUGCGUUAGCUAAGGGUUGUUCAAAGCAACUCUUAUUUCUUCAUACAACAAUUUGUAAUUGAAGAUUUAUGACAUUAAAAGUGUUGUCCUCUUUAUGAUAGAUUUAUCUAACAUGUUCUUCCAAUGAUACAUUAUCAAUAGGAAGAUUGUGAGGAUGAGAUUACUUAGGUACAUAUACAAGCCAUUAUAGACAAUCUAUGGGAUUGUAGUACCAAGUCCGAAAACUAAAGCUUUCGGCUUUUCUUUGUCAAGUUUUUGGAUAGCGUUUGCAAAUAUAUUGGUAAACAAAUACGUAACGAAUAUAAAUUGAUUUUAAGCCCAUUUGAUCCGGGUCUUUAAAUCAAAUAGCACCACCCACUAUUUUUGGCAAAUUCCAUAUCCCUUAUCGGAAUUCGAGAGUUUUGGAGGAAACUCUUAGUAGGGUAUGGGAGACUCACCAUUACCAAGCCCACCUCACAAUGAUAUGAUGUUGGCUAGCAUCAAUAAUAAUGAGAGAGUACGCUUACUCAUUUGCAUCUCUUGCAAGUACCCAUCUUAUUUGGCCUCUAGAGAAUGAAGCAUCACAAUGAUAUGAUGUUGGCUCCAUUGCACUUAGUUAAGUCAUUCCCACCAUGCAAGUUCAAGUAGGGGUUCAAGAACAACCUCACAAUGAUAUGAUGUUGGUCAUUCUCGUUGCCUACCUUCACAACAUCAUGUAUGCAUAUAGAACUCCUCCUGAGUGUAAGCACGCACUUUGUACUCCCCCAUGAUAGGGUGAAGUCGGUGUACGAGUCACAAACGAUCGGAGCCUACCACGGUGGAAAGCCACGAAAGAGUGUUCAAAGCACUAUCACGCUUAUCAACGAAAGAGGUCUCAUCACAUAUAAGCAUGCAUUUUAAUCUUAUUAAAACAAUUUGGUCCAAUUACAACUAUUAGUCCAUGUGAUUGAUUUAGUUAUAUAUAAUACUCCCACUAUGCUUGUAAAACGGUUUUUAAAGCAAGAGUAUAUAGUACUAUUAACAUAAGGUUUGCAUUCAUUGAUGGACUAUAUAGUUGCCUUAGGGCCUUAGGAUGACUAUGAACCUUUGAUUAGAUCCAACAUGAGCCUAGUGUUGAAUCUCGGUCUAGGGAUGAUGAUUGAUUUUAGUUACGCGUUUAAUCAUAUUAAGGCGUGUUUUUCCUAUUGGGCGUUGGACCCAACUACUCCAAUUUCAUGCAUAUCAAAUAAAACAAGAAAUGAGGACUUCAAAGUAAAGAAGAGCUUAUGCUCUUUUACAACAUUUGAUCAAAACAAAUUACUUUAAAGUAAAGAAGAGCUUAUGCUCUUUUACAACAUUUGAUCAUAUCAAAUUACAACCAAAAUCUAAUCUACACAUUCCCAUGGUUCAAACAACUUUGAGACGGCCUUUCACAUAGCUCAAUUAUCGUAGGCUUAGGUUCAUAAUCACCCUUUCUUUAAUUAAUUAACGCUUUAACUAAUUAAACUUGAAUGCAACAUUUUCAUUUGGUUUUUGUUUCCAUAGAAUUGAUUUAAAUGGAGCUAAAUGAAAUGAAAAUCCAAUUCUCAUUUAAAGAUACAAAACUACUUUGUUCUCAACUAAUUUGGGCCAAAUGCAAUAACCUCAAUUUUUUGGGCUAUGUUGCAAAACACAAACUUUUGAGGUCACUAUGUAAGAACACAAAAGUCCACUACUUCAUGUAAUUACAACUAGAACCCAAAAUUUUUAUCAAAUACAAAAACUUCAUUAAAGGAGCAAAACAAUUUGUCCUUUAGUGAUUUUGGGCCUUUACGUAAAAACGUAAACUUUCGGGUCAAAGUACAAAUACACAAAAGUAUCAAAACUUUAUGUAAUUGCAUAAAAGCCCCAAAAGUACCCUAUUUUAAUAGGGUGGCCGGUUGGUGAGAGUGAUAGUGUCAUAAAAACUUUUGAAUUUUUCAACAAAGUGAAAGGUGAUGGGUUGAAAAGGUGAUGGGUUGGUUUGAAAAAGUAGGUUUCCAUAAAACAUGGUUCCUUGAAACAAGGAAAAUGUGUAAGUGAUUGGUAUGAGUAUUUAUUGAAAAUUCAAACCAUCCAUCACAAACAAAAACUUUAUUCAACAACCAAAACUUUUGAAUCAAAAUACCCAACCUUUUUGUUCUUGCCAAAAACAUAACAAGAACAAUGAAGAACAUCCAUGAAAACCCAUAAGAGCUCCAUGAACAUUUUUCACCCAAAGCACCUUAAAAACUCUCAAACUUAAGGGAAAUAAGAUAUUACCAUACUACGGUACUUAGGGGUUCCUAAAGUCACCUUAAAACACUUUUAACAAGACAAACAAGAACCUAAAAGUCCACCCUUUGGAUUUGGCCGAAUUUCCCCAAAAACAUGGCACCAAGCUUUAGCUCCAAAAUUCAUGCUCAUAUGAACUACAUCUACAACAUUUGAGAUGGCAAAUUUUCUAACAAAAUUUACAUUCAAAGAAGCAAGAAUAAAGCUUGUAACAAUUACAACAUUCAAAUCAAAGACUAUGAACUACAAAACCCAAAAGGAUUCACCAACUACUCGACCUAGGCUCUUGAUACCACUUGAAGGAAAUUUUGUGAAAAACAUGUUCAUUUGAGCAACAUCUAUGACAUGCAAUUAACAAUUAAGGGCGGAAUCAUGCUUGUAUGCACUCAAAAACAAAACAUUACCCAUGAAAUUCAAAGCCUAGUAGAAAGGUGAACCAAGACUCAACUCAAGAACAGGGUGAGCUGAGAGAUUUUAUACCUUUGUUGAUUCCUCUUUGCAUAAGCAAAGGCUAAUCACCCAAGGAGAGGGCCUUCAUUCCUUGCUUCUUAGAUCCAUGGAUUUCUUGGAUGAGGAUGGUUGAAAGGAUUCUCCAAGUUCCCAAAAUUGAGAACCUCUAAUUUUUCCACACCAAGGAAGGACUUGAAGAGAGAUGAGUGACCUAGAGGAAGUAAGAUUGCUAGCUAAAAUCCUCUAAGGUGGCCGACCUCUUAGAGAGAAAGGGAGAAACAUUGUAUUUUCAUCUUUUCUCUAAAAGAAACCCUAAGGAUGAAAUGGCUAUAAAGUUGCAUUUAUACCACCUCACAAUGGAGUGGCAAACUUACAAUUAAAGCAAGUUCAUUACCCUCCUCUAUUUGGCUGGCCUUAAGGGUUUAUUGGGCUUUCAAGCCCUUUGUUUAUUCAAGUUGUCAUACAAGUUGAGUUAAUGGGCUUGACAUUCAAAUCCCAUUGGGCUUUGCGGCCCAAAACUAACCCGAGGUCUUUAACGAACUUUAUUCGUUUGAUUAAUUAACAUAUUAAUUAAUCCUUGCCAUAAAUAAUUAAACCAUUUAAUUAUCCUUACUCAUCUCCAUUGUUUCUUCAAUCUCUACCUUACACGGUGUACGAUCAUAUUCCUUUUAGCAAGGCAGUUGGCGAUUAGAACUCUUUCAAAUC